rnacentral:tRNA from 2 species
UCCUCAGUAGCUCAGCGGUAGAGCGAUCGACUGUUAAUCGAUUGGUCGUAGGUUCAAGUCCUACCUGGGGAG